CACGUAGUUAGCCGGGGCUUCUUGGUCAGGUACCGUCAUCUUCUUCCCUGCCGAUAGGGCUUUACGCGCCGAAACGCUCCUUCACCCACGCGGCGUCGCUGCAUCAGGGUUCCCCCCCAUUGUGCAAUAUCCCCCACUGCUGCCUCCCGUAGGAGUCUGGGCCGUGUCUCAGUCCCAGUGUGGCCGUCCACCCUCUCAGGCCGGCUACUGAUCGUCGCCUUGGUAGGCCGUUACCCUGCCAACCAGCUAAUCAGACGCGGGCCCAUCCUGUACCACCGGGGUUUUCCGCGCCGUGCCAUGCGGCACUGCGCGCUUAUGCGGUAUUAGCACCUGUUUCCAGGUGUUAUCCCCCAGUACAGGGCAGGUUGCCCACGCGUUACUCACCCGUCCGCCACUCGCGCGACGCCGCAGGGGCCGAGGCCCCUGCCGCACGCCGCGCCCGUUCGACUUGCAUGUGUUAGGCACGCCGCCAGCGUUCAUCCUGAGCCAGGAUCAAACUUCU
rnacentral:rRNA from 1 species